UACGUAGGGACCAAGCGUUGUCCGGAAUCAUUGGGCGUAAAGAGCGUGUAGGCGGCCUGUUAAGUCUCGCGUGAAAUCUCGGGGCUCAACCCCGAGCGGUCGUGAGAAACUGGCAGGCUAGAGUGCGGGAGAGGAGAGUGGAAUUCCUGGUGUAGCGGUGAAAUGCGCAGAUAUCAGGAAGAACACCAGUGGCGAAGGCGGCUCUCUGGAACGCAACUGACGCUGAGACGCGAAAGCGUGGGGAGCAAACAGG
rnacentral:rRNA from 1 species